rnacentral:lncRNA from 1 species
CAGAUAUUCAGCAGUAUGCUAAUGGAGCCUCUGACGAUUCAACGUUUCGCCGAAACCCCUUGUGGAACUGUUCAAGUAUUUCAUUCUGGUGCACUCUGCCCACAACAGAGAAGAGAGAGUCCCGCCGCACCGCCAGACUUAGGCGUUUGUCUCUUCUGAAAAAUCAAGACACCAAGACUCAGCUGUUCCUGUGCAGAAGCUCUUAGGUUUGAGACACUGCUGGACAGUGCUCUGCGUCGCCGGCUCGCGACAAGUGGCGCCCGAACAGGGACCUGGAAUUGAAGCAGCGAUCGGUGAGCAAUCCGUGAAGCCUGCUGUCAAAAAGGGUUCGGCCGAACCGAAACAAGGAGGACACCGCUGUCUGGAACGCCACUCACGGUGGGUUGUUUUGGUGAACCUGUUUGCUCUUUUCCUGUGUGACCUUUCAGUUACUAUGGUAAACCCAUCCCAUAAUAGUUUGUGGUUUUUUGCUUUAAAAGGCCGGUGCUUGCCGGCAAUAAACGCCGCCUUGAUCAGACUCUUGUCUUGGCGUCCUUCCUUUCUCUCUGCCCCAUCUCCACCCCGCUGCUCUUUCAGGUUUGAGACACUGCUGGACAGUGCUCUGCGUCGCCGGCUCGCGACAUAGAAAGAUAAAUUUUUUAUUGAAAUUGGCUCUAGCUCUGUUUCCCAGGCUGAUUUUGGACCGGUGGCAGUCCUGCCUCAGCCUCCAGAAUACCUAGGAAGGCACAUGCCACAUGCCUGACUCAUGGUUAUAAAUUUGGAACCAACUGCCUGUCAUUAAGAGCUAUUACAUAAACUACAUGUAUACUAUGAACUCCUUGGCCACCAUUAGAAAUAAGGCAGAUCUGUAUGUACUGAUACGAAAAGCUUUAUAAGCGAUAUUGUUUUAAAAAUCAAAUGGCAGAACACUACAUAUACUUUGAUCUUCUUUAUUUAAAAAGUGGAGUCAAGUGUAUUUAUACACCAAGAACUGUUAGUAGUGAUUACCUCUGCAUAGGAAAAAAGGAGUAUAAGACAGGGGAAGAAUUACCAUGUUUUACUUUAUAUAUUUAUGUAUUUCUUGAAAUUUGGCAUUCAUCUGUUACUUAUGUUUAUGAGUUUUAAAAACUUAAUUGUAGGAAAAUCACA